UACACACAUACUUAAAUAGGCAUAUUUGCGUGCUCACCAGCCCGUUGAUCGACCGCCAACAGAAACAGACAACGCUUUCGACAACCAAAAAGCUAAGCAAGAAUAUGCGACUGGGCGGAAGUCGCAUCCAAUCACCAGCCCAGCCCUCCUCGUCGGGUCUUUUUGCCCCGGGAGAACCAAAGGAAAAGAAAGUAAUAUUUUAAAAAAAAAGGCGAAAGGAAAGUCAUCGUUUCGGGCGAUAAGGCCGAGAUCCAUGUCCAAUGACGCCUAGCUUUUGUCAUGCGCAAGUUGCUCCUCGCUAGCUGCAAAAGCUGCAGCAACGUACGAGAUUUUACAAUGCGGACAUGAAUGAUGGAGCACCACUCCGUCAGUUAUCAUUCAUUACCUGAGAUAUUCUAGCCAAGGGAAGAGAAGUAGCGAGAGGCCGAGGCCGGUAACAAAGCGGCACAUCGCAUCUCAUCGCGAUGCCAUGCCAUGCCAUGCAAAUGGUCCCACAGAUCAUGAAGUGAAUAGCGUAUGCGGCCGGUUUGAAGCUUUGCGCCGAUGGGGCCGAUCAUUGGUGAUCCAAAAUCCGACUGCGGGUUUUUUUUCCCUAUUUCUCAGGGUUCUGGAAGGGUUUGAGUUUGUUCUGCGCCCUUGUUUACCGUGG
rnacentral:sRNA from 2 species